ACUGGCGACCAAGUCAGCUGUCAUCGGAGAACAAAGAAUCCCCCAGAGCUGCUCAAGUUGUGUCACACCCGGGAAGCCCUGAGAGCUCUCUGAUUAGGAUUUCUAAAUCAGCCCCAUCGAGGCCUGAAGAAUAAAGCUGAGGAACAAUGAGCCGCUACAUUCACAGUCAGCCUCCGGCCAGCCUGCCGCCUCCCACCACCACCGCUUCCAAGGGGCCUCAGAGGCCACUUCACCUCCAUUGGGACAAUCGAAUCUCCUCGACAGCCCCCAGCCUGCCGGAGCAGUGUCCAGAGAACCCCGGGAGUGGGGUUCGCGCUGAAUUUUGAGCUGGACGACUGGAAUACCCCACCCUGACCCCAGUCUGGAGCCUGAGAACUCUCCUAUGGUAGUUGAGGCUGCAAAGUGAAAAAUAAAAAUAAAAAAAAUAAUAAUAACAGCCAGGGGCCCCGAGCAUCAACAAGACCAGGCCAGUCAAGAUUUCUUCUUCCCAGACCAACCAGCCAAGCCAGACGGAGGACACUGCAAGACGUUUCCACAGCACCUUGAAUUCGGAGCUUUGGCCUGAUGGCCACGAGAGGACUCACGUGAAAUCCGUGGGGUGCUCUUGUUGGAAGUGAAUGUUCAUUUGUUCCAUGUAAAUUUUUUUGUUUAAUGACAAAUUGUCAUUGGAUUUGCAUAUGUUUUUAAUAUAUUUGCAUCCUCCAGAGAAGGACAAGUGAAACCGCUCCAAUGUGGAA